AGUGAACGUUGGCGGCGUGGAUUAGGCAUGCAAGUCGAGCGAGAACCGUAGCAAUACGGGGACAGCGGCGAAAGGGACAGUAAUGUGUAGGUACCUACCCCGAGGUCUGGGAUAGCUGCGGGAAACUGCAGGUAAUACCGGAUAAUGUCUUCGGACCAAAGGUGUGAUUCCACCUUGGGAGGGGCCUGCAUCCUAUUAGCUGGUUGGCGGGGUAAUGGCCCACCAAGGCGACGAUGGGUAGCGGGUGUGAGAGCACGACCCGCGUCAUUGGGACUGAGACACUGCCCAGACACCUACGGGUGGCUGCAGUCGAGGAUCUUCGGCAAUGGGCGAAAGCCUGACCGAGCGACGCCGCGUGCGGGAUGAAGGCCUUCGGGCUGUAAACCGCUGUCGUAGAGGAGGAAAUGCAGGUGGGUUCUCCCAUCUGUUUGACCUAUUCUAGGAGGAAGUACGGGCUAAGUUCGUGCCAGCCGCCGCCGUAA
rnacentral:rRNA from 1 species